UAGGGAAUCUUCCACAAUGGACGAAAGUCUGAUGGAGCAACGCCGCGUGAGUGAUGAAGGGUUCGGCUCGUAAAACUCUGUUGUUGGAGAAGAACGGGUGUCAGAGUAACUGUUGACAUCGUGACGGUAUCCAACCAGAAAGCCACGGCUAACUACGUGCCAGCAGCCGCGGUAAUACGUAGGUGGCAAGCGUUGUCCGGAUUUAUUGGGCGUAAAGCGAGCGCAGGCGGUUUUUUAGGUCUGAUGUGAAAGCCUUCGGCUUAACCGGAGAAGUGCAUCGGAAACCGGGAGACUUGAGUGCAGAAGAGGACAGUGGAACUCCAUGUGUAGCGGUGAAAUGCGUAGAUAUAUGGAAGAACACCAGUGGCGAAGGCGGCUGUCUGGUCUGCAACUGACGCUGAGGCUCGAAAGCAUGGGUAGCGAACAGGAUUAGAUACCCUGGUAGUCCAUGCCGUAAACGAUGAGUGCUAAGUGUUGGAGGGUUUCCGCCCUUCAGUGCUGCAGCUAACGCAUUAAGCACUCCGCCUGGGGGAGUACGACCGCAAGGUUGAAAC
rnacentral:rRNA from 1 species